ACUCACCAUAGAACAAAUAUACUGUGGUCCUUUGGGUAGUGGAUGGGAGAUCACCGCCAAUCAUUCGCUGAUCUGCAGACCAGGUUCCUUGUCAAGGAGUCCAGUAAUCCCCUGUGGUGGUUUGAAUGAAAAUGUCUCCCACAGGCUCCUAUGUCUGAAUGCCUGGUGUGUCGUGGUCACCCCCCCCCCCCGCCCCGUUAGUAGAACUGUUGAGAAGGUUUGGGAAGAGUGACUUUAUUGGAGGAGAUGCGUCACUGAGGGUGACACAUGCCAGGCCCAGCAUUUCUCUCUGCCUGCUGCUUGAGGAUAGGGGUGUAAAGCUCUCAACUACUGCAACAGUGUCUUGUCCAUCUGCUUCCUACCAUGAUGAUCGAUCGUGGACUCACCAGUCCUCCAAAACUGUACAACAGAGAAGAUAGAGAGCUUAAAAAAAUGCAGCCAAUUAAAAACAUACUCUCUGCAUCUAUCAGUUCAAAGAACUACUAUUGUGAAAACCACAGUACAGCAAAAUCAUCUGGCACACAACAUGACGUCCUAGAACAUGACCACAUCAAUGAUAACCUAUGACCCAGUAGCCUGAUUUUGUUAAUGAAGUUUUAUGGAGCAUAGCCACAACCCUUCGCUCCUGUGUUUCUCAAGCCAAUCUUCAGACCGAUGCAACAGAGUGAUGUUGUUUUCUGUCAGACACUGGUUAGACACCAAUGAGACCAGAAGUACUCAACUGCUGUUUCUUGGCUGAGAAAACAUGCCAAAUCUUUGGUGAGAAUGUAAACCUCAGCCAGGGCUUCAUUUUUUGAUAGGACAAACUUUAUCUUCAACCUUGAGCUUGAGACGUAUUUAAACGAAAUCUCCGUUCAUUUCAGAGGAGAAAACUUUGGGACGCAUUAAGUGGAAUUUGCAGGCUCUUGUAUAACCUAGGUUGACCUGGAAUUCACAGAUAGUGAGUUCUUCUGUCUCUGCCUUCCAAGUGCUGGACUUGAAGACUUGUGUUACCACAGGUGGUUUCUCCAGAACUUUUUAAGGUAAUAUGUGACAAUUCCUGCUCCCCCUAAAGGAUUGCAAGUGGAAAUGGUAAAUGUUGUGAGGAGAAGGCUCACACUGUUGAAAGAAAGAAAGAAAGAAAGUAAGAAAGAAAGGAAAAAGAGACGAAAGAAGACAGACAGAAGGAAAGAAAGAAAGAAAGGAAAAAGAGAAGAAAGAAGACAGACAGACAGAAAGAAAGAAAGAAAGAAAGAAAGAAAGAAAAAGUUUUCUUUGUGCAAAGACCUUACUGACCUAUGGAACCCUUGCCAUAUUAACAAUGCAGAGAAAUCAUGCAAUAAGCAAAGCUUUUUUUUAUUUUGCUUAACAUAAGAUUUGUCAAAUUUUUGCCAUAAGAUGAACCAUCCCUGCUCCUGAUGUAAUAGCUCGAACCCUCUACAAAACUAGAAUCCUGUUAACCACUCAACCAGCCUUCCCAUCCAUCUUCCUUUAAGCUAUGCUUUCAGUGGGUCUGGCUAGCUGUGACAGGGGUGAGAGCACUUGGGAAACUGAACCCCAGUGUGUGUCUAACAUCUGUUAUUUUAUCCAGUUUGCAUGAUGGAAACACUCCCCCAUUUCUUCCUCUCUGCUUUGUAUCCUUUUAGCUAAGUCCAGACGAGGCAAGCUCAUCUGUUUUGAUGACGUGCAUAGACAUUGGAGUUAGGUCAUUAGACAUUUUUGUGUGCCUCUGCUGCAUGGUAGUCUGUAAAUGUUUCCAAGACUUUCUAUUCCGAAUGGAUCUUUGUUUUACAUGUCUUAAGAAAGCACUUGGAAACCAAGUAAUGUACUCAUAACUUGGGGCAAACUUAACUAGGCUGUUGGCUUUUGGGUAUGCAGGCUUCCCCAUAAACUUUUCAGAUGUCUCCUGAUUUAGCUUCCUAUGCUUAAUUUUUCUUUAAAUCUCUUAAAGUCAACUGAGAUACUCACAAGCAGAAAAAAAAAGUCACAUUUCUUGGCUUCUCUAGAUUAUAUAUACACAACCAGUCUCUUCAGUUCCUCCUUGCCUACACCAUGGCUUUCAUUUGUCUCUCUCUUCUGGUCACCCACCUCCGAAAAUAGGACUGGUUAGAGUCCAAACACAGUUUUCCAAUGUGAUUUGACCUCCAGGCUGUGCAGGGACUGUUUCUGGCUGAGGCAGAAACAUUAAGCUUUUCAGUGGCCCCACGCAUCCUGUGGGUCAUGCCCGUGCCUGCAUUCAACCUACACAUAGUCCCUUCAUCUGAGGUUUAAGCCCUCCUCCACACAGAUGGUUAAUUCAGGUCCUCUCGAGUUACAUGCUAAACUUUUGUCCUUCAGCCCAAAAAACCUGCCUGGUGUUUCCCUGCACCUGUUUCUGCUUCACUUUCUUCUUUCUCUGACUUCUGACCUCCUGUCAAAUUGCCCUUGCUCUUUUAUGUAUGCUGUCUGAUGGUUCCUCUUGUAUAGCUCUUUGUCUGAAGUUUUAUCAUCCCUGCAAAACCAGCCUAGAUCAGGCUUUCCUGGAUACCACCCUUCUGCAAAGCUGUAGUGUAUUCCCCCUUCUCUCUUUAAACGGUCAGCGCUUGGGGAAUGUUCUUCGUGUGUGAUUGAUACACGGUUUUUUCCUCUCACCUUCAUAAGUUAUCUUUCUCAUAACAGCAGAGACUCACUGGUGAGCAUUCAUGUAGAUUUGUACAUCUUAAAAUCCUUGUAGAGACACUCAGUCCACUGUCUCUCCUCUGCCUCUUCUUGCACAGAGAUGGGCAAAUACCUACGUCUGUCUCAUUUUCAGAUGAUAAUCGUGAGCCUUGGAGAGAUUAGCCCAACAUCUAGCUCAGUGUCCCCAGGAUCACUAAUUCUGCUCUCUGAAAUCAUCGUCCUUGAAACUUCACAUUGGCUGACAAGAUAGUUUGCUAAGAGUGGAGAGCAUGAUAGCAACUCUCUGAUUUUACACUGUAAGCUUUGGUUUUGACAAUUGUUCAGAUGCUUAGUGCUCCACCUUGAUGGCCCUGCAUACCAAGGAUUCGCUUAUUCUGGAAAAGACUUGGAUUUGGAUUUUCAUUUUGUUUUCUCCCAUUUCUGCAUUAUUCAUUUCUACAGCUUUUACUUGAGUAGAUGAUUCAUGUUGUCUCAGAUAUGCCUUGAAAAUUUUUCUCAGAAGUAAUUAAUCCCAUCACUUGGGAGGCAGAGGCAGGCGAAUCUCUGUGAGUUCAAGGCCAGCCUGGUCUACAGAGUGAGUUCCAGAACUGGCUUCAAAGCUACAAAGAGAAAAAAAAACCUGAGAGCAUUCUCUAGCACAAGCAUUCUAACAUUGUUACACACUGAACAUAGAUGUAAGAUUGGACAAGCCUUUGGUAAGACAGGAUAAACUAUCUUGUGUACAAUGGAAAGGGCCAAUUAAAAAUAUUUGAUGGAAAACAAUCAUCUUACAGACUAGAGAGAAAGGAAUGAGCCAUAUAGACAGGAUUCUUGAUGCGAUAUACUUUAUAUUUUUAUUGAGAAGACAAUAUGUAACAGAUGCAUAUGCAAACAAGGUAUUUCUGAUGGCCAUAUGCAGAGAGAAGAGUGCUUAGUAAGAUGGGUGGAGUGGAGCCUGAGAGCCAGUGUGCUCAGUGUAGUGUGUGAGUAGAGAUUUGAUUUUAUUUGUGUGGAUAUGACCUAUGUUUGUGUUUGUGUCGGAAGUGUGGGUGCAAGUGGGUGCAUGUGUGUGUUUGUGGGUGCAGGUGCCAAAAGUCAAUGCUGGGUGUCUUCAUCAACCACUUUCCACCUUUUAAUAAAUCUUUUGUAAUUUUAAUAUUCUAUGUAUGUGUGUGUGUUUGUGUGUGAACAUGGGCAUGGAAGUGCCCAGGAAGGGCAAAGGCAUCAGAUCCCCUGAAACUGGAGAUGUAAGCAGUUGUGACUUACCUGAUGUAGGUACUGAGAACUGAAGUCAGGUACUCUGAAAAAAGCAGUGUGGGCUCUUAACUUCUGAGUGACUUCAACAGUUGCCACGCCUUGUUAUGUUAUGUUAUGUUAUGUUAUGUUGUUAUGUUAUUGAAGGGGUCUCUCAUUGACUCUGGAGUUCAUUGAUUUGGCUAGGCUGGCUGACCAGUGAGCUCUAUGGAUCCACUCAUCUCUAUCUCCCCAGCAAUGAAUUUAGAGAAAUAAAUAUGCCGCUGUACCGAGCUUUUACAUGAGUGCUGGGGAUCUGAACUCAGGACUUUUUGGCCGUGCAGCGGGCAUUUUAUCCUUUGAGGCAUCUCCCCAGUCUCUUAGCUGAGAUUUAAAUGGUAAGAUAUAGGCAGCCACAUCAACUUGGGGGGGGUAGUUCCUUCUAUACAAAAGAAUGAGAAGACAAAAGCAUGGGAAGGAGGGAUGUUUGAGGUUUAGGAGGAGGGUCAAGAAGGCUGGGUUGUUUUGAAGAACAAUGACAAGGACAGGAAGAGGGAAGUCGACAUGAGGUCUUAGAGAUCAAGAGAGCCACUGGAGGGUUUAAUGAGGGUAAAGGGAGUAAUGUUAUUGGAUCUGUGUUUUAGAAACAUCACACUGGACUUCUCGGUAUCUCAGGGAUUAUAGAGAGGCGGAAAGAAAAAGUGCAUAGUCUGUUAAUAUUAAUCCAGGUAAGAAAUGGUGGUAGGCAGUGCCAGACAUCAUGGAUGAUAAGAGUAACAAGAGAAUAUUUCAGGUGUGCUUUGGAUACAAAUAGCACAAGAGGUUCGUGGACUCAACACAGAUGUGAGGGAAGAAUGGAAUCAUGACUCCCAGUUGCUUGGUGAAAUGGAAGGAUUUGCUCCCUGUGGAGGACUG